rnacentral:misc_RNA from 1 species
ACUGGCCGAGGAAAUCAAAUCCUUCUCUUUUCAAUCUUAAGGAACCAAUUUAACAUAUAUCCACUCUCUACUCCUAAGAUAUUGACAAGCUCCAAAAGGUGCUCAUCAAGUUCAACACUAAUGGUGGCUGCAAAUUUUCAUCUUUGAGCUUGGUGGAAAUUUAAAAGUGAUGGCUGGAUAUGCGCUUACCAAGUUAUGGGAUGCACUUGACAUGUAUGGUAAGAAUUCACUUGGAAGAGGU